GGUUCCAUGGUGUAGUGGUUAGCACUUUGGACUUUGAAUCCAACGACCUGGGUUCGACUCCCGGUGGGACCU
rnacentral:tRNA from 1 species